UCUUGAUUAGUAUAGUGGUCAGUAUGCCAGCUUGUCAUUAGAUCAUCAGAUCUAAUCGUUUGAGCGCUGGAGACCCGGGUUCAAUUCCCGGAUCGAGAG